CGGAAAGAUAUAGUAUGAAGAGAAAAGUGGAUAUUCCCUGGGGGGAAGUGUGAAAUGAAGACCAGUCUUGUUUGAACAAGGAUCAAGAGGAAAUGCAGUAAUUUUCAACUUCACACGAAGGCUAGUUGUACAAACACAGCUGAAAACCUCAGGAAACACAAGCAUUUUCCUCAGAGAAAUGGAGUCAAGUAAUGUUCUGCUGGCAAUAGACUCCUGGAUAAUUGGGAAGAUGUUAGGCACAGCAGUUUGGGCAGCAGGUUGUUGACACUGAUAGCACUGUUCAGUUUGGCUUUCUCAGGUGAAUGACUCCUAUAAUGUAGAAAGCAGAAAUUAUUAACCAUAUGACAGAAGUUAUUUAAAGAACAUAGGCUGCUUUGGAGACUUAAGGAAUGGCUCUUAGAUUGCGAAA
rnacentral:lncRNA from 12 species